CGAUGAACCACUUCGGUGGGGAUUAGUGGCGAACGGGUGAGUAACACGUGGGCAAUCUGCCCUGCACUCUGGGACAAGCCCUGGAAACGGGGUCUAAUACCGGAUACUGAGCCUCGCAGGCAUCUGCGGGGUUCGAAAGCUCCGGCGGUGCAGGAUGAGCCCGCGGCCUAUCAGCUUGUUGGUGAGGUAACGGCUCACCAAGGCGACGACGGGUAGCCGGCCUGAGAGGGCGACCGGCCACACUGGGACUGAGACACGGCCCAGACUCCUACGGGAGGCAGCAGUGGGGAAUAUUGCACAAUGGGCGCAAGCCUGAUGCAGCGACGCCGCGUGAGGGAUGACGGCCUUCGGGUUGUAAACCUCUUUCAGCAGGGAAGAAGCGCAAGUGACGGUACCUGCAGAAGAAGCGCCGGCUAACUACGUGCCAGCAGCCGCGGUAAUACGUAGGGCGCGAGCGUUGUCCGGAAUUAUUGGGCGUAAAGAGCUCGUAGGCGGCUUGUCGCGUCGGUUGUGAAAGCCCGGGGCUUAACCCCGGGUCUGCAGUCGAUACGGGCAGGCUAGAGUUCGGUAGGGGAGAUCGGAAUUCCUGGUGUAGCGGUGAAAUGCGCAGAUAUCAGGAGGAACACCGGUGGCGAAGGCGGAUCUCUGGGCCGAUACUGACGCUGAGGAGCGAAAGCGUGGGGAGCGAACAGGAUUAGAUACCCUGGUAGUCCACGCCGUAAACGGUGGGCACUAGGUGUGGGCGACAUUCCACGUCGUCCGUGCCGCAGCUAACGCAUUAAGUGCCCCGCCU
rnacentral:rRNA from 1 species